rnacentral:rRNA from 1 species
UACAGGGGGUGCAAACGUUGCUCGGAAUCAUUGGGCGUAAAGCGCACGUAGGCGGUUCGUUAUGUCGGAUGUGAAAGCCCUUGGCUUAACCGAGGAAGUGCAUCCGAAACUGGCGAGCUAGAGUACUUAAGAGGAUCGCGGAAUUCCCGGUGUAGAGGUGAAAUUCGUAGAUAUCGGGAGGAACACCAGUGGCGAAGGCGGCGAUCUGGGAAGAUACUGACGCUGAGGUGCGAAAGCGUGGGGAGCAAACAGG